UUGUGAGCUUAGCCGUGUGGUUACUUCGUAUUUAAGAACUCUCUGGAAUUCUUCCUACAAAACACCACUGGCGCAGUCCCACCCUUUU
rnacentral:vault_RNA from 1 species